rnacentral:rRNA from 1 species
AGGACGAACGCUGGCGGCGUGCUUAACACAUGCAAGUCGAGCGGAAAGGCCCUUCGGGGUACUCGAGCGGCGAACGGGUGAGUAACACGUGAGCAACCUGCCCCUGGCUCUGGGAUAGCCUCCGGAAACGGGGAUUAAUACCGGAUAUUCACUGUCUCCUGCAGUGGGGGGUGGUGGAAAGUUUUUCGGCUAGGGCGGGCUCGCGGCCUAUCAGCUUGGUUGGGGGGUGACGGCCCACCAAGGCGACGACGGGUAG